UUUAUAGAAGUAUUCCAGGUCUGACGUGGCCUACGUAUGUGUGUAGCACGUCUCUAGUGAUUGAUCACGACCAGCAAAAGAGUAUAUGUGUGUUUGUAACGGGAUCAUCUGCCAAAGUGGACCUUGUGGUUCGCCUAGGUAUCCCGACGUGUUCCCAGUCUAAGAUAUAGCACGAGUUUUGUACCCCACACAAAUCCUGUCUUUGAGACAAUAAAGUCAAAGCAAGUAGAAACCGAAGCCAUCCAAUACAACCACUGGGUUUCCCGAACA